CAGUCGAGCGGACAGAAGGGAGCUUGCUCCCGGAUGUUAGCGGCGGACGGGUGAGUAACACGUGGGUAACCUGCCUGUAAGACUGGGAUAACUCCGGGAAACCGGAGCUAAUACCGGAUAGUUCCUUGAACCGCAUGGUUCAAGGAUGAAAGACGGUUUCGGCUGUCACUUACAGAUGGACCCGCGGCGCAUUAGCUAGUUGGUGGGGUAAUGGCUCACCAAGGCGACGAUGCGUAGCCGACCUGAGAGGGUGAUCGGCCACACUGGGACUGAGACACGGCCCAGACUCCUACGGGAGGCAGCAGUAGGGAAUCUUCCGCAAUGGACGAAAGUCUGACGGAGCAACGCCGCGUGAGUGAUGAAGGUUUUCGGAUCGUAAAGCUCUGUUGUUAGGGAAGAACAAGUGCGAGAGUAACUGCUCGCACCUUGACGGUACCUAACCAGAAAGCCACGGCUAACUACGUGCCAGCAGCCGCGGUAAUACGUAGGUGGCAAGCGUUGUCCGGAAUUAUUGGGCGUAAAGGGCUCGCAGGCGGUUUCUUAAGUCUGAUGUGAAAGCCCCCGGCUCAACCGGGGAGGGUCAUUGGAAACUGGGAAACUUGAGUGCAGAAGAGGAGAGUGGAAUUCCACGUGUAGCGGUGAAAUGCGUAGAGAUGUGGAGGAACACCAGUGGCGAAGGCGACUCUCUGGUCUGUAACUGACGCUGAGGAGCGAAAGCGUGGGGAGCGAACAGGAUUAGAUACCCUGGUAGUCCACGCCGUAAACGAUGAGUGCUAAGUGUUAUGGGGUUUCCGCCCCUUUAGUGCUGCAGCUAACGCAUUAAGCACUCCGCCUGGGGGAGUAACGGUCGCAAGACUGAAACUUUAAAGGAAUUGCAUGGGGGC
rnacentral:rRNA from 1 species